GAUGAACGCUGGCGGCGUGCCUAAUACAUGCAAGUCGAGCGAACGGACGAGAAGCUUGCUUCUCUGAUGUUAGCGGCGGACGGGUGAGUAACACGUGGAUAACCUACCUAUAAGACUGGGAUAACUUCGGGAAACCGGAGCUAAUACCGGAUAAUAUUUUGAACCGCAUGGUUCAAAAGUGAAAGACGGUCUUGCUGUCACUUAUAGAUGGAUCCGCGCUGCAUUAGCUAGUUGGUAAGGUAACGGCUUACCAAGGCAACGAUGCAUAGCCGACCUGAGAGGGUGAUCGGCCACUCUGGAACUGAGACACGGUCCAGACUCCUACGGGAGGCAGCAGCAGGGAAGCUUCCGCAAUGGGCGAAAGCCUGACGGAGCAACGCCGCGUGAGUGAUGAAGGUCUUCGGAUCGUAAAACUCUGUUAUUAGGGAAGAACAUAUGUGUAAGUAACUGUGCACAUCUUGACGGUACCUAAUCAGAAAGCCACGGCUAACUACGU
rnacentral:rRNA from 1 species